rnacentral:rRNA from 1 species
AGUGAACGCUGGCGGCGUGCUUAACACAUGCAAGUCGAACGAGAACGGAAUAUAGCUUGCUAUAUUUGUCAGCUAAGUGGCGCACGGGUGAGUAAUGUAUAGAUAACCUACCCUUAAGAAAGGAAUAACAGUUGGAAACGACUGCUAAUGCCCUAUAUGCCUUUAAUACAUAAGUAUGCAAGGGAAACGCUUUAGUGCUUAAGGAUGGGUCUGUAUGGUAUCAGCUUGUUGGUGAGGUAAUAGCUCACCAAGGCUAUGACGCCUAACUGGUUUGAGAGGAUGAUCAGUCACACUGGAACUGAGACACGGUCCAGACUCCUACGGGAGGCAGCAGUGGGGAAUAUUGCACAAUGGACGAAAGUCUGAUGCAGCAACGCCGCGUGGAGGAUGACACAUUUCGGUGCGUAAACUCCUUUUAUAUAGGAAGAUAAUGACGGUACUAUAUGAAUAAGCACCGGCUAACUCCGUGCCAGCCGCCGCAGUAA